rnacentral:rRNA from 1 species
AACGGCCGUACCAUGAUGAAUAUACCGGUUCUCGUUAGAUCACCGAAGUUAAGCAUCAUUGGGCGCGGUCAGUACUUGGGUGGGUGACCACCUGGGAACACUGCGUGCCGUU